AUUGAACGCUAGCGGGAUGCUUUACACAUGCAAGUCGAACGGCAGCGCGGACUUCGGUCUGGCGGCGAGUGGCGAACGGGUGAGUAAUGUAUCGGAACGUGCCCAGUAGCGGGGGAUAACUACGCGAAAGCGUAGCUAAUACCGCAUACGCCCUACGGGGGAAAGCAGGGGAUCGUAAGACCUUGCACUAUUGGAGCGGCCGAUAUCGGAUUAGCUAGUUGGUGAGGUAACGGCUCACCAAGGCGACGAUCCGUAGCUGGUUUGAGGGGACGACCAGCCACACUGGGACUGAGACACGGCCCAGACUCCUACGGGAGGCAGCAGUGGGGAAUUUUGGACAAUGGGGGCAACCCUGAUCCAGCCAUCCCGCGUGUGCGAUGAAGGCCUUCGGGUUGUAAAGCACUUUUGGCAGGAAAGAAACGUCGCGGGCUAAUACCCCGUGGAACUGACGGUACCUGCAGAAUAAGCACCGGCUAACUACGUG
rnacentral:rRNA from 1 species